CUCUUACCCUCUCCCUCUCUGUCCCUUCUCUCCCCAUUUCCCUCUCCCCUCUCUCUCCACAGUACCUCAGGGGAAGGGACGCCUCAGCAUGAGGCCGCAGAGGCACUCCCUUCCACCUCACUAUACUGCGCCUCUACCAAACAUAUCUCUGGCCUUUCUGUCUUUCUUGGGGUGUGUGUGUGGAAAGGGAACCAGUUCACUGUGGGAACUCCCCCAGUAUUAUCACUUAAUUGUCUGUAAGCUUUAAAAACAUCUGCCCCUUGGUCAGUUACUGUGUCUCCUCCAGCACAGCCGCAUACAGAGAGCCCUCACCUGCUUUCCCUCUGGAAAACAAAACAAAACAAAACAAAAAACAAAACAAAACACCCUUACUUCCACACCUUCCUGGGUUCAGAGUGUUUUGGCUUACUGAAAUUUCCUAGCAGUGCUCAGGAGACGCCUGGAAGGAAAUUGCUUGUGACAUUCAGGCCCCGUUCUAGUCUAAGCUUUAAGGAGCGCCCUCUAGAAAAAGACAACUCCUCCUUAGAUCAAAGGGAUAGGAGCUCCCCCACCCUCGGGGUUUAAGAUGAGGGCUCAGCUCUGCUAUAGAUGGACUAACUCAGCGCUUGAGGCAGAAUAAGUUUGUCAAAUCUGGACACAUCUCUGUUGCUUUAGAGUCUUUAUUGGUUCGUGUUGGAGACACCGAGCUAGCUGAGUGUGGACUCCUGACUGUUCCUCUCUGCUCCUCAUCCAGACACAGAGGCGUGUCUUGGUGCUGGGGUUGCGUGACCUGAGCUGCCAUGUCCAUAGUCUAGAGAUGGAGUCUGAGAUUUUGUGAAUGCCGGAGGACACUCUAACGACAGAGCCACACGCUCAGGCCCUUCAGUUCUGCAUUUCAUUUCUUCUUGACAUUACCGAUGAACGAAACCAUUUUAUUUAAUACGACUUGUUGAGACAGUAUUUUAUGCAGCAACACUGGUUGACCGUGCAGCUCAAGCUAUCCCCAAACUGGCACUGAUUCUCCUGCCUCAGCCUCUAGACACAAGCUGCUAUGUCCCAUUGUUUAAUUUUAACACAUAUUUUAAUAUUGUAAUGUCACGCUUUUCUAGAA